AUUGAACGCUGGCGGCAGGCUUAACACAUGCAAGUCGAGCGGGGUGAUGGUGCUUGCACUAUCACUUAGCGGCGGACGGGUGAGUAAUGCUUAGGAAUCUGCCUAUUAGUGGGGGACAACAUCUCGAAAGGGAUGCUAAUACCGCAUACGUCCCACGGGAGAAAGCAGGGGAUCACUUGUGACCUUGCGCUAAUAGAUGAGCCUAAGUCGGAUGAGCUAGGUGGUGGGGUAAAGGCCUACCAAGGCGACGAUCUGUACCGGGUCUGAGAGGAUGAUGCGCCACACUGGGACUGAGACACGGCCCAGACUCCUACGGGAGGCAGCAGUGGGGAAGAUUGGACAAUGGGGGGAACCCUGAUCCAGCCAUGCCGCGUGUGUGAAGAAGGCCUUAUGGUUGUAAAGCACUUUAAGCGAGGAGGAGGCUCGUUUGGUUAAUACCCAAGAUGAGUGGACGUUACUCGCAGAAUAAGCACCGGCUAACUCUGUGCCAGCCGCCGCAGUAA
rnacentral:rRNA from 1 species